AGGGGUUAUUUAUUAUUUGCUAAAUUUUCUGAGACUGGCUGGGCCUUGGGUGCCUUCUUGGUGCUUAGAGCACGCAAACAAGAGGUUACUAGGAGCAGAGGUCAGGGGUCUGAAGCCACAUUCCUAUUGUGAGGAGCUGGGGGUAGGUGUCUCUGUAUUUUUAACUCCUCCUCUCUCCCCAAGUGAAUAUUCAGCAUUGCCAAAGAUCUGCCCAGGAAGCAAAAUAGCUCAGUUUAUCCCAAGGCUGAAAUAAAUGAGCUUAAAUAAUCACAUCACAAAAGGCAGCUCAUUGGGAAGACUGAGACCAUCACUUGGAAAUAAAAGGGGAGGGCAUACAGAAAUGGGUCAGAGCACAGUGGAGAGAGGAUGAGCUGUAAACACAGCAGCUACACCAUGUAUCUUAGAGGAUCAGGCUCCCGCACACACAGGCUUUAUAAUACCAGACGGUCUAUUUGUUCACAAUGUUAAAGGGCAUCUAGAAAUAGCUAUAGUAAGGGAUUGAAAGUUGCCUGAAGAAUGAGCACAGAAAGGCUGCGUCCGAAGAUGGCCUGCCACUCAGGAGGGUGGAGCUGCUGGGCCUUCCUGUUGACCACUGUCUUGCAAAACUAGAAAAGAAAUAGAAAUUAUUAAGGAAGCAACAAGGGCAACCAGAAGCACACAGUAAAUCAUGACAAGUGGAGAGAUCCCAGGAGGAGGCGUGCCAGUUGGUGGGGGCCUUGGAGAGAGAGUACUAAGGUUCUGGCACUGACUACAAAACUGGCAUCUGCUUAAUCCUCCUCUUCCAUCCCCAGAAGCUGCUUAAGAACAUGGGUUGGGCUGGGGAUAUAGUGCUUGCCUAGCUAGCACGCACACAGGCCUGGGUGAAAAAGAACCAUGGGAAAGCCAGAGAAUAAAGGUCCUAGGUUUUCUUAGCCUCUUGGUGCUAGAAGGUGCUCUUUGAGCAGAUAACUUCCUCUCAGCAUAACAAGGGACACCCCAAGUUAGCCCUAUGACCUGGGUAAAAAGUCUUCCAGCCCCUGAAAUAAACAAUGUCCAUAAUUUGUUUCUAUGGAAACCCAGGAGUCCCCUCGUUAGCACGGCAGUGACCAUCAGUCCUAGAGUGCCAGAUGAGGAAUGAAGUAGGUUUUCUCAUUUCACAGGGAGCUGCUGGCCUUGAGGACCCAAGCCCACUGACAACAGCUCGGUACUUACAGUGCAGAAAGGGCGGUGGCGCUAGUCGUCUGCUGUCAUUCCUUUCACUGGGUCCUUUUGUCUCAUCUGCAACAGAAAAAGCAGAAGGAAAUUGAAAGCUUUUGUUGCUGAUGGAACUUUACCAUGAAUGCACCCUGUCUUCUUGAUCCUGCCAACAGGGCAGAAUAUUUGUGUGUAUGCACCAAGCAAAAAUAACAAGUUUGAAUAAAUAAUAUCUCAGACCAUACCAUUUAUAAUCUAUCUCAGGUCCUACCAUCCUCUACAACCUAAAAUUUACCAAUGCUAAGCCCAGAGCUAUUUUCUUUUCUUUUCUUUUCUUUUUUUCUUUUUUGAGACAGGGUUUCUCUGUGUAGCCCUGGCUGUCCUGGAACUCACUUUGUAGACCAGGCUGGCCUCAAACCCAGAAAUCCACCCACCUCUGCCUCCCAAGUGCUCGGAUUAAAGGUGUGUGUCACCACGCCCGGCUGGCUAUUUUCUCUUUACUUUUAUUUACUUAUGUUUUAAUUUCUACUUCAUUUAUUUAUUUUCAAAGCUCAAGGACAAUUCUAUUGGCAUUUAAGAAAAAAGUACAGCCUGGGUGAACUGAAGAUCCUGGCAUGCCAGGUGGAGAUGGAGAGAAAAAUCAUACCUUUUAAGUUAGGCACAAAAUAAAAACAGAUUAUUAUUAUUUUUAUAUUUAUUCUUAUUUUAUAUGUGUGAGUGUAUAUACACCAUGUGUGUACCUGGUGACCACAGAAGCCAGAAGAGAUGUUGUGACAGAUGGUCCUGAGCUGCCAUGUGGGUGGUGGGAAUCAAACCUGGGUCCUCUGUAAGAUCAGCAAGCACCCUAAUCCCUUGAGCUAGCUCUGUGGCCCUGAACUGCUCAUUAAGACAGGAAAAAGCACUGUGGAGAGAGUGGAAGUGAGCUUGUGGGCUAAGGAAUCGGCCCCAGGGCCUGUCCUUGUAUGUAUGUGGGGUGGGGAGUGGAGCAUGUCCAUGUCACAGUACACAUGUCCAGGUCAGGGGGCAACUUUCAGGAGUGGCUUUACUCCGUUCACUUCUUUGUGGAUUCUGGGGAUUGACCUCCGUCACCAGCCCCCCUAUCUCUCUGUUUCUAUUUCUGGCUUAGCAGUUAAGAGCACUUGUUGCUCUUGGCAGAGGCCCUAGGCUCAACUCCCAACAACCACAUGGCAGCUUAUAACCCUUAUGCUUGUGGUGCACAUACAUACAUGCAGGCAAAACUCUCAUAGACAUAAUAAGUCAAUCUAAAAAAAAACUUUUCAAAAAAAAAAAAAGAUGCAACUUCCUAUCAAAGAAUGUGGCUACUUCCCUUCCUGUCAAGGGACAAGGAAGGGGUCCUGCUGAAAUAAUUCAUUGUUUCAUUGUUUUAAGCUUAUAGUAAACUGUCCUAAGAAUGUGUAUUUCCUGUCUCUUGAGGCCUAUAUGACAUGAAUGGGUUUGUUUUGUUUUGUUCUGUUUUGUUUUUUGGGACAGGCUGUCACUGUGUAACGGUGGGAGAUCUAGAACUCCCUAUGUAAAACCACUGAUGGUGCAUGCCACAGUCCUCACACCAUAGGGAAUCUGAAGCCUGGAGACCCUGCUGGCGGGGAGGAGGCUCACAUGACUAGAGACUUGGGUCAUUUCAAACUUAGAUGGCUCUCAUGACCCUGUCUCCCAGCUCAGAGUUUUACUAUUAUUUUCCUUCACUUUCCCAAAUGUCAGGGUUACAGGCAUGUCCUUCAGUGUUUGUUUGACACUUAAAUAUCACAGCAGUCCUGAGAAAUUAUAUUGUAUUUCAAAAUAAAGCUAUGACUGUGUUUUAAUACUCCGGCCGGUAUUCCAGAUGGUCUGCUCUGAGACAGAGCUCUGUGAGGUCAGAGGAAAUUAAGAUGAGAGCUUGCUUCUGUGGAUGUUAUGUGGAACUAAGUGUGUGUGCACAUCUGUGUGUGUCAUGGCUCAGAGUUAGAGCAGAGGCU
rnacentral:lncRNA from 1 species